rnacentral:rRNA from 1 species
CAGUAGCCGCGGUAAUACAGAGGGUGCGAGCGUUAAUCGGAUUUACUGGGCGUAAAGCGUGCGUAGGCGGCUUCUUAAGUCGGAUGUGAAAUCCCUGAGCUUAACCUGGGAACUGCAUUUGAAACUGUCAGGCUGGAGUCUUGUAGAGGGGGGUAGAAUUCCAGGUGUAGCGGUGAAAUGCGUAGAGAUCUGGAGGAAUACCGGUGGCGAAGGCGGCCCCCUGGACAAAGACUGACGCUCAGGUGCGAAAGCGUGGGGAGCAAACAGGAUUAGAUACCCCUGUAGUCCUGUCUCUUAUACA